GGUUAUAGUUGCGAGACCACGCCUUAGAAGACCCUGAAGGGCUUCCCUUGUGUGAUUCCCUCCAAGGGUCUCAACCUGUCCGGCACCUGCAAUUCCAUGAUAUCAUUAUCCCUGUGAAUACAACAGCCAGGACAGAUUUUGAGGGCGCGCAAAGAAUUUAGAGGGAUUUAAUAAAGGCUAUAUUCUAAGGAACCAAAUAUUACCAAUAUUAAAGGAGAUCAAGCUAUACAACAUACCUUCAGCUGUGAAAUACUGUUCCUUGAAGCCUUCAGUCCAGAUAUGAUGCCUUUCACUUCCUCGUUGACUAUCAACAGCAAAGUCAUCGCACUCAAGCGAACAGACCACUCCAUAUUUACCAAUUAUAAUAGCAAUGCUUAUAAGUUAUUUUAUAACAGCACGAACUGAAACUGUAAUUAAGAUACUAGUAUGUUGGAUUUAUAAUGUGUUGUGACGAUUAUGUAUUAUAUCAUAUCAGUUGACGAGUGAUGUAACGCGCACCUGCAAAGUUUAUACUCCGCCCACAGGUUGGCAAAAAUAGAUGGGAUUCGUAUAAGCUCCGCCCAUAUAAAGACGGUGAACAUAAUCCUCGAUCUUAAUGAUAAUCAUGCACUAUAUCAAAUAUAAUUAUAAAUUAUGUCUGAAUAAAACAUAAGCUUGCAAGUAAAUGCAUUUUAGUAACGAAUAUACUGUAGUAAUUAUUUGUUAUUAUUACUUUAAACGAACUCGGGAGUAGAAUUCAAUCUAACGGCUCGGUAUAUGUGGUAACCACAAAGAUCUCCUAACCCAGCAAACAUGCACAUAUGGGUCCCAUAUGGGAUGUUUCUGGGCAAACCCAUAUGGGUAAGCCCAUAUGGGAGUCAUUUGGGACCAAUAUGGGCUAGCCCAUAUGGGAAUGCCCACAAGGGUCCCAUAUAGGUCCCAUAUUAUUGCGCUAUCGGGCAAAUAUGUAAACUUGUAUUUAUUUGAUUAAAAACUCAUUUCUUAAAACGUAUGUAGAACUUACUUGAUCUAAACUGCUAAUAUUUUACCCAAAAAUAGAAAAUCGAUGCAUAAGCAAAUAAUAUGCGGCCCAUAUGGGUCCCAUACGGGUCCCAUAUGGGAGUUAUUUGGGAGCUAUAUGGGCUUGCCCAUGUGGGAAUGCCGAUAAGGGUCCCAUAUAGGUCCCAUAUUAUUGCGCUAUCACGAAAAAGAUGUAAACUAGUAUUUAUUUGAUUAAAAACUCAUUUCUUAAAACGUAUGCUGGACUAACUUGAUCUAAACUGCUAAUAUUUUACCCAAAAAUAGAAAAUCAAUGCAUAAGCAAGUAAUAUGCAGUCCAUAUAGGUCCCAUAUGGGUCCCAUUUGGGCCGCCCAACAAAGCACAAAAUCAGCUACCGGGCUGUUUCUGGGCAAACUCAUAUGGGUAAGCCCAAAUGGGAGUCAUUUGGGACCUAUAUGGGUUAGCCCAUAUGGGAAUGCCCUUAAGGGUCCCAUAUAGGUCCCAUAUUAUUGCGCUAUCAGGAUAAAGAUAUAAACUUUUAUUUAUUUGAUUAAAAACUCAUUUCUUAAAACGUAUGUAUGACAAACUUGAUCUCAACUGCUAAUAUUUUACCCCAAAAUAUAAAAUCAAUGCAUAAGCAAAUAAUAUGCAGUCCAUAUGGGUCCCAUACGGGUCCCAUUUGGGCCGCCCAACAAAGUACAAAAUCAGCUAUCGGGCGCACAUUUUUUGAAAAUUCUGUUUUUGAUAUUGCUUUGUUUUAAAUAAUGUAUAUACUAUGAUUAAUAUGUAGUUAUUUUCAAGAGAUAAUUUUAAUUUAAAUAAUCGCGCAGAAAAAUAAAGUAUUUAAAUAAUAUGCGCAUGCGCAGAUGUUAAUUCCGCCUCGCCUCGCAUUCAAAACAAAAACACUCGAAACGAAAAUAAAAUAUUCACCACCGCCUCGUUUGCCAACAUCGUCUUUACAAGGAAUGUCCAGCAGUGCAUGACAGAGGCCGGUCACUCCCAUUAAGUCCAGGCAGCUGAAGAGCCUUCCCAAAGACAGUUCAUAGGACAAAAUGCAGUUACACAGAUUUUAACGGUGUUGGAAACAAUGAGAGACAAGAACAGGGAAAUGAAGCGGAUGCUGCAGCAGCUCUUGGCUAGGUCAGCUACUGAUGACGAGCCAAUGCAACUGCCAGAGAACAUCAUUCUUCCAAUUGGAACAUUUGAGCAAAUGGAUGAGUUUGAAUAGCAUCUUGGUGAUGAAGCUACGAUCCAUCUUUUCUAGGACUGCUGCAUAGUUCAAGCUUUUUUAUCAAAUAUAUUAAGCAAUGUUGUAAAUGUAAUUGACAGUUUUUUCUCCAUUAAUCCUAAACCAUUCCUUUAAGGCUCAUCUUCUAAGAAAGCAAACAAUCUUUUUUAUCUGGAAAUGAAACAGUAUAUAUUCCUUUGCAAAAGAAGAAACAGCAUUCCAGUUUUUGAAGGUUUUAAAAGACAUAUAUAUAUAUAUAUAUAUAUAUCAUGUGCAAUUACGAAAAACACUAGAAUGUAUGAAGAUAUCAAAGAUAAUAAUAUGGACUUGUUCUCGAAAAAGGAUUUGCCAUUUAUUUCAGUUUUGGAUUUUUUUGCAGGGUUUUUAAUUUGUAGUUUAUAAAAUAUUUUGUUUAGUCUUGCAAGUAUGUUUUCCACGAAUGUUCUUUGAGUACAUGGUGUGUUAUUUGUAUUGGUUAAAGAUUUAAUAUGCAUGUGUAUGUUUUGUAGUAAUGUGUAGUAAAUCAGGAAAAUACUUGAAGGUAUUCUGUAUAUGUAAAAAUAAUAGAAGUCCUUAAUUCUAUAGUCGUAUAACUGGUCGACAUAUAUAAUGUUAUAGAAAAACGUCUUAUUGUUUGAAGUUAUGUCUUUAUUGUUCCAUAAAAUACUGUUGGUUUGGGUUUAUAUAUUAUGAGUAACAUUACUCCAUGCAGAUAGAACAUUAGAUAGAAACAUGUUUUCGUUAGCUACUUUAUGUAAAAUACUUUUGCUGAUGUUACAUUCAAAAAGUUAGGAAUCACCAUAUUAUUUUAGAAUUUUCUGGUAGAAUAGUUAACGUGGGAUCCUCCUGCUAUGUAUGUAUGAAUCCAUGUAUAUGUGUGUAAUACUUUAUGUGAAUAAAAGUUGAGAGUACUUUAAUAAA